rnacentral:rRNA from 1 species
CUGGUUAGUGGCGGACGGGUGAGUAACACGUGAGCAACCUGCCUCUCAGAGGGGAACAACAGUUGGAAACGACUGCUAAUACCGCAUAACAUUAUUGAGUCGCAUGGCUUGAUAAUCAAAGAUUUAUCGCUGAGAGAUGGGCUCGCGUCCGAUUAGCUAGUAGGUGAGGUAAUGGCUCACCUAGGCGACGAUCGGUAGCCGGACUGAGAGGUUGAACGGCCACAUUGGGACUGAGACACGGCCCAGACUCCUACGGGAGGCAGCAGUGGGGAAUAUUGCACAAUGGGCGAAAGCCUGAUGCAGCGACGCCGCGUGAGGGAAGACGGUCUUCGGAUUGUAAACCUCUGUCUUUGGGGAAGAAAAUGACGGUACCCAAAGAGGAAGCUCCGGCUAACUACGUGCCAGCAGCCGCGGUAAUACGUAGGGAGCAAGCGUUGUCCGGAAUUACUGGGUGUAAAGGGAGCGUAGGCGGGUGUGUAAGUUGAAUGUGUAAUCUAUGGGCUCAACCCAUAUGAGCGUUCAAAACUGCGCAUCUUGAGUGAGGUAGAGGUAAGCGGAAUUCCCGGUGUAGCGGUGGAAUGCGUAGAUAUCGGGAGGAACACCAGUGGCGAAGGCGGCUUACUGGGCCUUAACUGACGCUGAUGCUCGAAAGCGUGGGUAGCAAACAGGAUUAGAUACCCUGGUAGUCCACGCCGUAAACGAUGAUUACUAGGUGUGGGGGGACUGACCCCUUCCGUGCCGGAGUUAACACAAUAAGUAAUCCACCUGGGGAGUACGACCGCAAGGUUGAAACUCAAAGGAAUUGAC